rnacentral:rRNA from 1 species
GACGAACGCUGGCGGCGUGCUUAACACAUGCAAGUCGAACGAAGAGCGAUGGAAGCUUGCUUCUAUCAAUCUUAGUGGCGAACGGGUGAGUAACGCGUAAUCAACCUGCCCUUCAGAGGGGGACAACAGUUGGAAACGACUGCUAAUACCGCAUACGAUCUAAUCUCGGCAUCGAGGAUAGAUGAAAGGUGGCCUCUACAUGUAAGCUAUCACUGAAGGAGGGGAUUGCGUCUGAUUAGCUAGUUGGAGGGGUAACGGCCCACCAAGGCGAUGAUCAGUAGCCGGUCUGAGAGGAUGAGCGGCCACAUUGGGACUGGGACACGGCCCAGAAUCCUACGGGAGGCAGCAGUGGGGGAUCUUCCGCAAUGGACGAAAGUCUGACGGAGCAACGCCGCGUGAGUGAUGACGGCCUUCGGGUUGUGAAGCUCUGUUAAUCGGGACGAAAGGCCUUCUUGCGAAUAGUGAGAAGGAUUGACGGUACCGGAAUAGAAAGCCACGGCUAACUACGUG